CGUAGGGUGCAAGCGUUAAUCGGAAUUACUGGGCGUAAAGCGUGCGCAGGCGGUUUUGUAAGUCUGUCGUGAAAUCCCCGGGCUCAACCUGGGAAUUGCGAUGGAGACUGCAAGGCUAGAAUCUGGCAGAGGGGGGUAGAAUUCCACGUGUAGCAGUGAAAUGCGUAGAGAUGUGGAGGAACACCGAUGGCGAAGGCAGCCCCCUGGGUCAAGAUUGACGCUCAUGCACGAAAGCGUGGGGAGCAAACAGGAUUAGAUACCCUGGUAGUCCACGCCCUAAACGAUGUCUACUGGUUGUCGGGUUUUAAUUAACUUGGUAACGCAGCUAACGCGUGAAGUAGACCGCCUGGGGAGUACGGUCGCAAGAUUA
rnacentral:rRNA from 1 species